UUAGUUGCCAUGGGAACUUAGUAACAGACUCUUGGCCCUCCCCUGCCCCCCUCCAGGAUGGGGGCGGGGUUUGAGGAGGCAGGGGGAGGAGUUGGGGCCAGGUCCCGCCCCUCAGCCCCGGCCUCCCGGGGCAGCCGGGUUGUACCAUGUAGGGGAGGGGGGAUCUAUCCACAUACCUCAGGUAACAGGGAGGUGCGAGGGUGGGGGGAGGGACUGGGCGGACCAAAGGCCGGAGGGGAGGGGGUUCUGAGUAUGGCGAAAGGCUUGAUAAUGGGACCGCUUGGGGAGGGGGAGGAGGCAGCCCGGCGGGGCAAAUGGGGGUCCCAGCCGGGCUGGGCCCCUGGGCCCCGGGUCUGUACAAUACGGUUUGCUAUAAAACUCAAAAUCUUCCAGCCACUGCUGCCGCGUUCGUGUGUGUCUCUUCGGCGUUGGGGUCGGGGGGUAGAGCUGGCCUGACUGGAAUGCUCAUGCUUUGGGCCUCCCUAAGGGGGCUGUUUGGAUGGAUCUGGGAGUUCUUCGCGUCCCCUAGGCUUCCCGGAACUGAGGAUGCCGGACGUCCUGUGAUCCCUAAAGGUGGAUAGGUUUACCUUUCGCCAGCUCAUCAUUUAGGGGGGAGGGGAUUGGAGGUCUGGACAUCUAGGGGAUGUCCAGGUGUGCCUCAAUGGUCCAGGGCUCGGGGACCCCCAAGUCACACGCUGGGGCUAGGCGUUUGCCUCCUCGGGGUUCCGGCACCUGGGCGAUAGUGAAGUGGCCUUGGGUCGCGGGGUCCCUCGGGAUCUCGGCCCACAGUCCCCCGGCUCCACCCCAUCAUGUGGCCACUCCGACUCCGCCUCCGUCCUAGUUCCGGUUUCGGCCUCUGCUGUCCCGCUUCGGCCCCUAGGUCUCCCUGCAGACGCCUGCUCUUUCGGCUUCGCCUGGGCGCCUCUUCGUGGGAGCCCGCCGCCCGCAUCCCCGCUAGCCCCGCCGUGGGAUGGGGCCUUCUGCCGGCCGGGGCCUGCCCUCCUGGGGCCCCCAGGGCGACUCGGGGCCCCCGUGACCGCCCAGCCCGCCCAGUGCUGCAGCCCCCAGGAUGAAGGGCGGCGAGGGGGACGCGGGCGAACAGGCCCCGCUGAACCCGGAGGCCGAGAGCCCCGCGGGCUCGGCCACGUACCGAGAGUUCGUGCACCGGGGCUACUUGGACCUCAUGGGGGCCAGUCAGCACUCGCUGCGGGCGCUCAGCUGGCGCCGCCUCUACCUCAGCCGGGCCAAGCUCAAAGCCUCCAGCCGCACGUCUGCCCUGCUCUCGGGCUUCGCCAUGGUGAGGGGAGGGAAGGGGCGCACAGGGUGGGGGUGAGGCACAUGGGGGCAUGGGGUCGUGGACGAAGUAAACGGGUACCCACGGGAGACGGGACAGAGGAAGGGGUUUUUAAGAGGUAAAGGAGUACAAACAAGGUCCCAAGGGACUACUCCAGUCCCUUUUUCUGAGUGUGUGUGUGUGUGUGUGUGUGUGUGUAAGUGUGUAAGAAGACCCCUAGCAUAAACCGGGCCAGAAGGAGGAUAAACAAGCCUGAAAGGUGUCCUGAGGGGAGACAAAUCACCAACGGCGAUAUAUAUGCAAGGGUGGGGCAAAGAGGUCCCAAAGGAGCACGUCCCAGGCAGAAGUCCUUACUAGGUUACCAUGAGAGAUUCAAAGGCAAAUCAGAGUUUGGUGGGAGCUAUAAAAACAGGCCUGGGAGAGUCAAAGACAAAAAAAUGAAUAAACGUAGUCACCCAGUUGAAGGUGGCCCCAUCCCAAAGAGGGUGGCCAGUUCCUAGCAAUCACAAAGAGUGCUUGGUGUAACGCAGGACAGCUCUGAGCAGAGAGGAUGCCUGUGAGGAAGCUGCUGGGGAAAGAAGCUGAUUAGGAAGCUGAUAUGUGAUUUCGGAACUGAUAAACUGCAGGUGUGGGAGGAUGAUAUCAGCCAACAGGCCCAGCGGAGGAAAUGGGACUGAGGGAAUCUCAGGGUCAGGAGGAGUCAGCAGACACAAACCCUGGCUCCUCCCAGCCUGUGGCCAGCUGUGUGACCCUGGACAGGCAUCCUCCCCCUCGCAGUCCAGUGGGAAACUGAGAUCAUGGAGGGUGCGCUCUCUGUAGCUUGCAAGUACCCGCCCCAGGAUGAGCUGAUUCUUGUCAUCAAACUCUAGAUCCCAGCAUGUCAGAACAAGACACGCAUCAGAGAUGGCUCAGCCUGUCUGUUAAUUGGAGAGGCAUGGAAGCCAAGGCCCAGAAUGGGGCAGUGCCUCUGCCAAGAGCACUCAGCAGAUGAAGGAUACAGAAUGAACUAGGGCCCAGGAUCACUGGACUCAGUUAGUCCAGAGUUUCCCUACCAACACGACAGGAAAAAGCAAGCAAGCUGGUGGGGAGUCUUCAUAGGAACAUACGGACAUGGGGAUAGAGGAGUCACAACACUAGGUGAUUUGGGUUAGUCUCUGCCUCUUUCUCUUUACCAUAGCCUAUGUAUUUGAAUGAUGAGAGGAAAAGUCUACCCUUAAGGGUCAUCCGAGUUCUAUCAUUUUCUGUAUAGGGACCCAGUAUCCAUAGGCCAGUCCAGUUUUCCUGAUGUGGGGUCAGCUAGAGACAGUGAAGUGGCUCUUUUUCUCCUGUACAGACUGUAGAGGGAAGGAAGCAACUUCCUGGACCUAGCUGAGAGAGGUCCCCCACCCCCAUCCAUCCCAUGGUCCAGCCUGUUCCCAAGGGGACAAUCUGGCCUGCUGCUGGACUUGCAUGUUGCUGAGGUGACAGCUUAAGCACCAGGGCCUUCUCUGCAGGAUCAAACGACCAGAUGAGUAGGUUCUGGGGGCAGACUGGCCCCACUCUGGCCAGGGGAGAGCAAGACUGGGUCAGGCUCUGGGAGAAACCAGGACUAGGCCUGGCCCAGAUCACUGUCAGUGGAAAACACCUGCUAACACUCACCAUGGCCCAAUUUCCCAAAAUACUUAGCCUUGUCUUCCUACCACCACCUUCCAGGUUCUGUACCUUCUUUCUCUCAGCCCCAGAGCAAUAUAAUGGAUCCUGUAAGAACUAGGCAUGGGGAAAGAUCCAGAUUCUGGUAUCUGGGUAGCCUGGGUUAGAAUAACAUACAAAUUGUAUUACACUGUCAUGCAGUACCAGGCAAUGUGCUUAGAGCUUUUACGUGUAUCACGUUUAUUAUUCUAUGAAGUAGGUACCACUACUAUGGCCAUUUUACAGAUGCGAAAACAGGAUCAGAGAUGUUAAGACACCUGCCCAGGAUCCCACAGCAAGUAAGUGGCAGAAUUUGAACUUAGGUAGUCUGGCUCUAGAAUCCAAAUUUACACAAGCCUAGAACAGGAUCACCAGCGCAAAUGUUUGCAAAGGACAGGCAGUUUAAUAUGGACUCCCAAGUUGGCUGGGUGGGGACUGUGGCUAUCAGGAGACCCCAUGACCUGUCCAAAGGGAGCAGGGGAGCAGUCAUGACUCAAUUCUAGCUGGUAGUUGCCAUGCAGGAAUGUGGGCCUAGUGUAACCAGAUCUUCCAAAUUUUCAAGAGGAUCCAGAAAUAGAGAUAUUUAUAUGAAAUCUCUAGAGUCAAAAAAAAAAUUUUUUUUUAAUGUUUAUUUAUUUUUGAGAGGCAGCAUGAUCAGGGAGGGGCAGAGAGAGAGGGAGACACAGAAUCUGAAGCAGGCUCCAGGCUCUGAGCUGUCAGCACAGAGCACAAUGCAGGGCUCAAACUCAAGCCGUGAGGUCAUGACCUGAGCCAAAGCUGGACGCCUAACUGACUGAGCCAUCCAGGUGCCCUGAAAUCUCUAGAGUUUUAAAAGUUCAACCUAAUUCCUUAAAAAACACAGUGUAUGAGCCAAGCAAAACAUGUGCAAAGCUGGCUUGGAUUCAUGGUAUACCAAUUUGCAGGCACUAGCCUUAGACUUCGGUGUUUUUUUUGUUUUGUUUUUAAUUUUUUUAAUGUUUAUUUUUUGAGAGGAAGAGAGAGAGUGCAAGUGGGGGAGAUGCAGAGAGAGAGGGAGACACAGAAUCUGAAGCAGGCUCCAGGCUCUGAGCUGUCAGCACAGAACCCGACGCCAAGCUCGAAUCCAUGAGCCAUGAGAUCAUGACCCAGUUAACCAACUGAGCCACCCAGGCACCCCAGACUUCAGUGUUAAUAACACUAGUGACAGUGUUAAGAACACUAGUGUUCAUAACAGUUAAUAAUUAAUAAUAACAACAAUUAACUAGCACUUACUCUGUGCCUUAUACCUUCUUAUUACUUGGUGUACAUUAUCUCAUUUAAUUUUCACAACAACCCUGUAAGGCAGGUAGAUAUUAUUAUCAAUCCCCACUUUCCAGAUGAGGAAAUUAAGGCAUAGAGCUAUAUAUCACUUGUCAGCUUGUAGAGCUGAGAGUGAACCCAGGUGGCCCAGCUCCAGAAUCUGUUUUUUAACCCCUAGGUGAUAACAAGGUAAGACUUCCAGAAAUGUGUCAUCCAGCUCUCUCAAUAGCCAGGUGCAGAAACCAAAGCCAGUAAAAGGACAGAGCCUUACCGAGGCUACCAAUUCAUUCACUCAACAGAGACUAAGCAUCUUCUUCCUGCCAGGCACUGUUCUAGGUCCUAGGGAUACCUUGGUAAUGUAUACCAACAGGUAAAACAACCCUCUACUGCCAAAGAGGUUAUAGGCACUCAAUCCAUCUCUGUCCCCACAGGUGGCCAUGGUGGAGGUACAGCUGGAGAGCAACCACGAAUACCCGCCAGGCCUGCUGGUGGCCUUUAGUGCCUGCACCACCGUGCUAGUGGCUGUGCACCUCUUUGCACUCAUGGUCUCCACCUGUCUGCUGCCCCACAUAGAAGCCGUUAGCAACAUCCACAACCUCAACUCUGUCCACCAGUCUCCACACCAGCGACUCCACCGCUAUGUGGAGCUGGCCUGGGGCUUCUCCACUGCCUUGGGCACCUUCCUUUUCCUCGCUGAAGUUGUUCUGGUUGGCUGGGUCAAGUUUGUGCCCAUUGGCGCACCCUCGGGCACACCAGCCCCUUUGGUACCUGCCUCCCAGGUGCCUGGGACUCUGUCACCAGUGACCACCUCCCUUAGUCCAGCUUCCAAGCCAUCCUUUACUUCUGUAGCCCCAUCACAGGCUGAGCCAUCUGAGGCCUGCCCACCCCGGCAAGCAUGUGUUGGUGGAGGAGCCCAUGGACCAGGCUGGCAAGCAGCUAUGGCCUCCACAGCAAUCAUGGUACCUGUGGGGCUUGUAUUCGUGGCCUUUGCCCUGCAUUUCUAUCGCUCCUUGGUGGCACAUAAGACAGACCGCCACAAGCAAGAGUUAGAGGAGCUGAGUCGCCUGCAGGGGGAGCUGCAGGCUGUGUGAGGCUGAUGUUAACCACUACUGUAAACACUGCCUCCCUCCGGUCUGCAGGAGGACCCAGGUCCACAGACCCCAUUCCUUGCCCCUGCCUGGAGCCACUCCUGUGGCCACUCCCAGGUAGAGACCAGACUCCUGCUUUCUGAGUCCUUUGGGGUGGGCCCCGGGGGCAGCUUUUACAUUCCCAGGGAUUCUCCUCGCUGUCAGUCUAUCCCGGUCUGUCUAUAUCUGGGCUGGGAGGAACAGAGGAGGAAGUAGAAGGUCUUCAGUCCAAGUCUCACGUAGCUAGAGGGGAGGCAGGGAGACCCUGGUCAGACCUUUGGUGCUGACCCUUAACACCUUAACCCUGUACAGGAUGUGGAAGUCAGAGGUUACACACCCACCCAGCUGCCUCAGAAGGUAGCUAACCCUUGCUUUAUUUUUGUAGAAUCUACUUUAUGGUUGGCAUUUUGGGAAAGCUUUUCCCCAUCUCCAGAUUUUGAUGGGUUCCACAUUUUUGCUUUAGUUGCUGAAGAGAAGGAUUUGGGUGUUUCUAACCCAGACAUAGGUCCACUCUUUCCUAGGAGGAGCCUCACUAUUUAUGGAGGUUCAAGUGCCUGCCCCACUGCCCUAGACCCACACUUAAGCUUCUGCGUCUGGUUCUCACUCUCCUGGGCCAGGGCUGGAGAUCUUUGGAGACUGAGGGCCUGUGUGCCCAACCUGACUCUCUAGUAAGGGUUUGGGGUGGGGAGGUUUUAAGGGAGAGGAUCCAGUCACUAGCCCUUGGAAUACAGAGCUAUUCUCACACUGAAUUUUUGAUGCACCUUGUUUUGUAUAAUAAAAUGUGUUUCACAGAUGUCCCUGUAGCUGUGAAUGGGGUGAAGAGGGGGCCUCCUUGGGAUCAGGUGACUUACUCCUAAGAGCCAGGUGGAAGCAGGUGUACCUGGGGGGGGGGGCGCGGAAGAAUGGUUCCAGAUAUGAUCCCCUUCUGGUGCUGGCAGGGACCAGUUAUCUUCGGAUUUGGAGACUGAGUUAUUCCAAGGCUAAAAUUUUUGCACUCUUGUUCUUGGGUCUCCAUCACUUCCAUUGAUGAUUUAGAGUUUCUUUGUAAAGUGUAAGUUUCUUUCUUGAGUGACUACUACAUACUAGGAGCAAGGAUAUCUUAUUUAACCCUCACAACGACCUCAAGAGACAAGUCUUCACCAUUUCCAUUUCAGAGAUAAGGAAACAGGCCCGACAAAGUGGAGGAUCUUGCCCAAAGCAAUGAAAACUUGGACUACCUUUACCAUAACAUGGGAAAUCUCCUUCUGUCUGAUAUAAGAAGCCAAUCAAUACCUUUCAACUGGGACAAGAGAAAGGAAUCUGCUCUUAUCACCAGUGCUUUCAUAUAAAAAUUAGGCUUUCAUGUAAGUCUAAUUUUCCUCAAAAAUUUAAGGGGCUCUAAUCCUCGCUCCUCUAUUCUUAGCAUGAGACCUUGGUCCAGUCCCUCUUUUCUCUUUUCCUGUAACUUAAAAUUGUGAAUUUGUAUGAACCAAGCCUCAGGGUCCUUUCCCGCACUGUUUUUUUUUUUUUUUUAAUGUUUAUUUAUUUUUGAGAGAUAGCUUGAGCAGGGAAGCGGCAGAGAGGGAGAGGGACAGAGGACCGAAAGGGGGCUCCACGCUGACAGCAGAGAGCCCUAUGCAGGACUCGAACUCAUGAAACGCAAGAUCAUGACCCGAGAGGAAGUCAGAAGCUUAACUGACUGAGCCACGCAGGCACCCCUCCUUUACUGUUCUGACUGCUAUAACAUUCCUGUGAGACAGGAAUGAACAUCCAUUUUUCAGAGGAAGAAUCUUAAAUUUUGAGAGGUCAAUGGCUUGCCCAAGGUCACACAGGGAGGAACGAAUGUAGGCAGAGAUGUCUGAAACCUAGAGCAUCCUCAGCUCAAGCAGGGGGUCCUUCUGAGAGUGCGGUUACCCAGAAACCAGGAUGCCCUGCGUCCAAGCGAAAUAAAAAGGUACCCAGCCUCGGCGACGUUAGCGCCUGGGCUGGUGCUGCCCUCCAGCGGUGGGACCACGUAAGCAUAGCCCCCCGCCCGGGCUCCAAGCUGAGGGCACUGGGAGCAUGGUGCUUGGAGAAUCGACCAGCCCAGCCUAGCUCCAGUAGGUACUAGUUUAUUUUUCACGAGACCUGUUCUAAGACCUUUAUGCCCCCCAAGACUUUUCACAGAACUUUGAGGCAGCCUCGAAUUUAAUUACGAAUGGCGGCUCGAUUAUAGGUAAAAUGCGGCACCUUCUGCAGGCCUCAGUCUCCCAAUCUGUCAAAUGGGCAUCUGAAACAGCUGGGGCCCAAGGGGACAGCGAAAGGAAAACGUUCCCGGCAUUGUGUGCGACACCAGGCAAACGGCCUGAGUCACCGCUGUUAGUUGUAUUUUUCCAUCUCCUAGGCGCCCCUCCCAGCCCGCACGGUUUCGGUGGGUCCUACAGGAAGCGCCCCCGCGACGCCGGGCUUUACACGCCCUGGCCACGCCCUCUGCGCGCCGCGCGUUGGCUCCGCCCACAGGAGGAUCCGCAGAUUCGCUAGGCCAGCUCUUCAGAAUUACUUGGGCCUCUCUAUACCAGGCUGGAAAUUCUCAUCGGCCUCCGAGAGCAGCUUUGGGCUGUAGCCAUUUCUCCGGGGUCGAAAUUGGGCAUUCCCCAAGCUCUGCUAGUAAGAAAGAUCCGGGAAAAGUGGCCAACUCUGCCAACGGGGCUUGGCUAACCAGGCAUUAUUUUCUUGACUCCACCAAGGCGGGUGAAGGGAGGCGACAGCUGAGGCCAGGACCACAGGACCUGUGGCGAAUCUGCAGCCUUUCAGGCCUUUGGCCGCACAAGGAAGGGGCAGGAAAGAAGAGCAAAGGAGCGCGCAUCCCAUCCACCGAUUCGCCCCGCCCGCCUGACGAAUCUGCGCCUGUUCAACGCGCCACUCAAAUCUCCCCAGCUCUGGCUGGCCUCCUCCCCUCCGCCCCGCCCCCUUUUCCUCAGGGAUUAGUCGCUGCUUUCGUCGCCGCCGAUUCGUCAAGGACCCCAGGCCAGAGCAGCUGGGUAGUCGUGGUGAAGCCCACUCUCCGGGGAAUGCGGCCAAUCUCCAGGCUCCCUGGGCCGCAACUCUGGAGCCUUAAAGGGCGCCGGCCGAGGCGAAGCCGCUUUCCUCGGCCCCGUGGGUCUCCCGGCGGCACCCGUGGCGAAAGUGCGAAUGUAGACGCUGUGCCCGCUGGGCCUCGCGCAGGUGGCGGUGGUGUUUGGUGCGCGCGCCGGGGAGGUGGUGGUGGGGGGGCGCCGCCGCCGCCACCGCUGCGGGGCCGGGUCUCGCGCUGCCGCCGCCGCCGCCGCCGCCGCCUCGCGCCGCUGAGGUGCCGCGCGGGGUGGGGGGAGGGGGAGCCGCUCGCCACGAGCGGGUGAGUGAGGCCUCGCCGCGCGUGCGCGGAGAUGGGGGGGCAGAACGCGCCGGGGCGGGAGGAGAGGGCAGCGGCGCGCGUUCCCCCCCCCCCCCCCCCCCCGCCCGGAUUCGGGGCCGAAGCCGGGUCUCGAGCUCGGUCUCGCGGUGUUUCCAACGCCCCGAAGAGGUGCCACCUCUUGGCCAGAGAGGAUCGGGGCGCGGGGACGCAAGCGGGUGUGUGGGAGCGAGAGCCGGGCUUGGCCCGGGCCGCUGGCCGGUGAGGAGGCGGGAGGGGGCGGGGCCUGCCAGGGGGCGGGGGAGGGGUCUUGCUCUGAGGCCAAGUGGGGCGCGCGCUAAGCAGAGCGGGAAGGUAAGGGGGCGCGAGAUGGGCCUGGGGGCCUGAGGGGAGAGUUGGGAGGUGGAGAGAGAAUGGGGUGUUGUGAGAGAGGGCACUUGGGGGAAAAUCUGGGGGAGCCACGGGUCAUGGUGAGGUGUGGAAACUGGGGUGAUGAGCGGACCUGAAGUCUGGGCUGGUCGGUGAGGGGCAGCAAGGGGGUCAGGCCUAAGCCCUGAACCCCCUUGCCUAUUCCUCUUUCCUGACAGUGUAAAUGAGCAAAGAUGGAUCAGGAAGGUGGGGGAGAUGGGCAGAAAGCCCCGAGCUUCCAGUGGCGGAACUACAAGCUCAUCGUGGAUCCUGCCUUGGACCCUGCCUUGCGCAGGCCUUCUCAAAAGGUGUACCGCUAUGAUGGAGUCCACUUCAGUGUCAACGUGAGUGCCCCAGGCCUUGUCAUCUAGGGAACUCCAGGCCCCAUUCUCCUCUGUUACCUCUGUUCAGCAUCCUGAACUCCCAUACCCAUAGACUGCCUUUCUUAAAAGUGUGCAACCAGAACUCAGCUCUUUUGCAUGUGAGUCUCCAAAUGGGCUUCCUAGAACUCAACAGUUUCACCUUGAGCUGUCUUUCUGUUCCUGCUUUCAUUCCUAGGACUCAAAAUACAUACCAGUCGAAGACCUCCAAGACCCCCGAUGCCACGUCAGGUCCAAAAACAGAGACUUUUCCCUCCCAGUCCCUAAGUUUAAGGUAUGUAUCUGCUAGACCCUGGUGUGGUGGCCCUUGGGAGGUGUGGAGGAUCCAUCCUGGCAGUUUUUGUCUCAACAUAACCUGAUAAAAGUGGUUUUCCUAUGAAAGGAUCACAACCAAGUCUUAAAAGCUCGGAGGCUGUGAGACUGAGUUGUUCUGGAGAGGAGUUGUGUUUAUCUUCUAGAAAGUUAUAGGUUAGGUGUCUCAAGCAGGAGUGCUGACUUCUUGAAGGAUGAAGUAAAGGCACAUUUCUUUGCUGUACCUAUCACUGUGUAGUCCGUGUCACAGCAUGACAGUGCCCUGGUGUGAUAUGCCAGUUUCUCAACAAUUAAGGGUAGCGACAAGGCCAGGAACGCCAUCCUUGGAGUUCUCUGCUCUUCACCCCUCGUUUGGUGCCUUGAUCCAUCUUGUUUUCUCAAAGUAUUCCUCUUUCCCUGUGUAGGCAGGAUACUCAUCAGGCCUUGGACUGGCUCUUGAAAACUGAUGGGUCUUGGUUUUCUUCACUAAUUCUUUAUUCUUCUUUAUUAAAUAAAUAUUUGUAAGGUUUCCACUCCAUUUUUUUCACUUUGUGUAUUCUCCCUGGACAGUCUCUUUCACAUACACGAUUUGGAUUGUUACUGAGACAUGGUGAUUUCUAAAUUUCUGUUUCCAGCCAAGAUCAGUCUCUUGAACUCCAGACUUUUAUGCCUGGUAGAGGGACAGCUCCAUCUGGAGGCCCCACAGACAUCUCAAACUCAAGAGGUUGAAAAGAAGUUCUCUUUACUCCUUCAUCCUGCUUUCCUUUCCAUUUCCCUUUUACUGAUGAAUGGUAAUACCAUGUACUUAGCUGCACAAACUAGGAACCUGGGAGUCAUCCUAUGAUUGUUCUCUUUUUUAUUACAUAAUCUAUCACCAAGUCUUGCUGAUUCUUUUCUAAACACAUUUCCUUUUUAUUUUAAUUCUUUUGUUUCCAUUGCUGAUUUUCUAACACAAUUUCUGUAUUCAUUUUAUGGGGUUUCUUGCCUCCAUUCUCUUUUCCCAUUUCAUGCUCCACCACAGAUGGCUCCUGCCAUUUGUAUUUUUUAUUUGGCUUUUACAUUACUUUUGUUGUCCAUGUUUUUGUGCAUUGGCACAUAUGAUUAUAGAUUUGGCUAAGCCUCAUCUCCUGCCUUGAUGCUGUAUAUCUGUGUUGUACUAUAUACGUUUUGCAGUUUCUAGAAAAUGCCAAGUUACUUUAUAGUUUCAUGCCUUAAGUCCUUGUCACCUCUUGAACUCUUGUUACCCAAAAAGUCAAAUAGGAGUGACACCAUCUUUGUGAAUUCUUCCUUGCCUCCACUCGGAACAACACUUUUCUUCUCUGGGUUCCUAAACACCCUGUCUACACUUUUGUGAACAUUUGUGUCACAACAGUGACUACGUAUAUAUGUCUUGUCUGCUUUCCUGAACAAGAAUCUUUUUUUUUUCAUCUUUGUAAUUCUGUUGCCCAGUCCAUGGUAAAAGCUGAACUACUAAAUUAUUUUCUACAAUUAAUUUCUUUGACGUAUACUUAUUUCUCAGUUGUACGUUUCUUUUCCUGAUUUCUUGUAUUAUUCUGUGAUGAGAAGAACUCAGAGCAGAGAGAGGUCAGACUGACGUAUCUAUCACCUGUUGGAGCCCCUCUUCCCCAUUCCUUUGCCCGUGUUUCCCAGUCGUCUCUCUCUGAACCAAGUUCCCAAAAGGCAAAGGAACAGUAGUCAGUAUUGAGACCCCAGACUCAAGACUCCUGUCUUCUCCACAGCUGGAUGAGUUCUAUAUCGGACAGAUCCCUCUGAAGGAAGUGACUUUCGCGAGGCUGAAUGACAAUGUGCGGGAGACCUUCUUAAAGGAUAUGUGCCGAAAGUAUGGUGAGGUGGAAGAGGUAGAGAUCCUUCUUCACCCCCGUACUCGCAAGCACCUGGGCCUGGCCCGCGUGCUCUUCACUAGCACUCGGGGAGCCAAGGAAACAGUCAAAAACCUCCACCUUACCUCCGUCAUGGGCAACAUCAUCCACGCCCAGCUCGACAUCAAAGGUGAGGGCUCUCUUGCCUACUGCCUAAGGUUGGGUUCCAGCAGAGACUUUAUAUGCAAAUGCCUGUUGGGGCCAGGUGAAUGAUCAGGUUCAUGAUUCCUCAUCUGCAGUUCUUGGAGCCACAUGUGUUUGUGAAAUCAGAAUUUUACAGAGGGAUUGUGGUUUUUAUGUGUUUCGUGUGUGGGGGGGGUCCUUGGCAAGGUUGGGUAGCAUCUUACAGUCUAGCAUGUAACAUGUUUGUAAGAAAACAUAUGAAGGGUUAUACUAGGUAGCAUCAAUAAAACCUAGUAAAUAGCCUCAGUUCAGAUCAAGUUUUGAGACGAAAUUCAAAAAAAUGUUUGGUUUUAAGUUUUGGGGGGUUUUGAAAUUUUGGAUCGAGAAUAGGGACCUGUACAGAUAAGUGAAGCAGUCUGGGUUUCUGUGUUGAGAAACAGUAGGGAGGAGUCGGGGACUGUAGAGUACACUGUCAUCUGAAGGAGACGGCUAUUAGUUGGUAUUAGCCAGUUUGCACUUGGGAAUGAAAACUGUUGCCAAAUAAUGUUUUUAUAUUAAGCCAGGAAUCUAGGUUUUUGUGUGAAAUCUCAUUGUUUUUAAGUGCUGAAAAUCCCUCCCCCCCCCCCCCCCCCCCCCCCGCCAAAUUUUUAAGUGAUUGUGUAGGGCAAAUAAAACACAACUGUGGCCUGGAUUUAGCCCUCAGGCUGCCAUUUUGCAACCUUUAGUUUGUAGGAAGAAGAGCAUGGUGGGAUCUAGCAUCAGACGACCUGGGUUUGAAUUCCAGUCUGCCACUGACCAACUUUGUGACUUUGUGCAGGUCAAUUUUCUUUGAGCCUAUAAAAUAGGGGUACUGAUGCCUUUCUCUCCUGGUGAUUAUCCAACUUAGAUUACUAAUUUAUGAGUGAAGAUGUUUGAUUAUAGAUUGUAAAGUGCCGUUCAGUAUGUUGUUGUAUUAUUAGGUAGAGAUGAGGUAGGAGGUCCCAAAGGUAGAGACAAGGUGGAAGACCUGAAAUCCCUGAACUCAGGACUCCAAGAAAUUAUAGGAAACUUGAGGCCUGAGAAAGAAAUGGGAAAGCCAAAGAAGGAAGGAGUUGUUUCUUCCAUCUGACUCUUGAUGGCUCCCAUUUUCCUCCCUCCAGGACAACAACGAAUGAAAUACUAUGAACUGAUAGUCAAUGGCUCCUACACCCCUCAGACGGUGCCCACUGGGGGCAAGGCGCUGAGCGAGAAGUUCCAGGGCUCUGGUGCAGCCACUGAGACGGUAAGAAGCUUGUUGCCACAGCCCUAGCCACGUGGGCACAGUGCCUGGGUGCCAGGAACAGUAUUUGGGAGGUUCGGGACUUCCAUUAAGGAUGGCAAGAGCCAAGAAAAGAUGCAGAGAUGCUUUCAAAAGACAGGGAACUGAGGUUCUUGGUUUGGGGAAGGGCAAGUUGUUGUAUGGUACUUGAUGUCUUCUUUUCUCCAUGCUCUACUUUUGCCCUCUAGACUGAAUCCCGCCGCCGCUCCUCCUCUGACACGGCUGCUUACCCGGUGGGCUCUGCUGGGGUGGGCACUCCUGGCAAUGGCACCCCCUGCUCCCAGGACACAAGCUUCUCCAGCAGCCGACAAGACACCCCAUCUUCCUUUGGCCAAUUCACCCCUCAGUCCUCCCAAGGAACCCCUUACACAUCUCGGGGCAGCACCCCCUACUCUCAGGACUCUGCCUACUCCAGCAGGUGCAGAGUAAACACUCUCUGGGACCCCCAGAUUCUGGGAGUUGACACUAGAAAGAAGAAACCUGGAGUCUCCCUAAAAGGGAGUCGGGAGUAAUUUGUCCUGGUUUCUCUUAUGGAUUCAGCCAACGGAAUCCCUGUCCACAGGGAACCCCCUGUCUAGCUAGAAACCCAACAGAUCUUCCUUUGGGGGCAGUGUCAAGGGCGCCUGGGUACUGAGAACCAGGACACUAGGGUUUGGUCCUACAGAACUGAACCUAGCUAACUCCUGCACUCUUUCUCCAGCACCACUUCAACCUCCUUCAAGCCUCGGCGGUCAGAGAAUAGCUACCAAGAUUCUUUUUCCCGCCGCCAUUUCUCUGCAUCUUCAGCCCCCACGACCACCUCUACAGCUGCCUCCGCCACUACUGCAGCCACUGCCUCGUCCUCCUCCUCAUCUUCCUCCUCCUCUUCGUUGUCCUCGUCCUCUUCAUCCUCCUCUUCGUCCUCAUCCUCUCAUUUUCGUGGUACUGACUCAAACUACCCAGCGUACUAUGAAAGCUGGAAUCGCUACCAACGCCAUGCUUCCUACCCUCCCCGCCGCGCAACUCGGGAGGAGCCCCCUGGGGCAUCUUUUGCUGAAAAUGCAGCUGAGCGCUUCCCACCUUCCUACACCUCCUACUUGCCCCCUGAGCCCAGCCGGCCUGCUGACCAGGACUACCGGCCUCCUGCCUCAGAAGCUCCACCCCCGGAGCCUCCAGAACCUGGUGGAGGCGGGGGUGGGGGAGGGCCCAGCCCUGAGAGAGAAGAAGCUCGGACCUCCCCCCGCCCAGCCUCACCUGCCCGCUCCGGCUCCCCAGCCCCAGAGACCACCAAUGAGAGUGUGCCCUUCGCUCAGCAUAGCAGCUUGGAUUCCCGCAUUGAGAUGUUGCUGAAGGAGCAGCGCUCCAAGUUUUCGUUCCUGGCCUCUGACACAGAGGAAGAGGAAGAGAACAGCACCACAGGCCCUGGGUCUAGAGACAUAGGGAGUGAGGUGCCUUCUGGGUCAGGUCAUGGGCCCUGCACGCCCCCUCCAGCCCCAGCUAAUUUUGAGGAUGUGGCACCUACAGGGAGUGGGGAACCAGGGGUUACCCGGGAGUCUCCCAAGGCCAACGGACAGAACCAGGUGAGGUUGGGGUUAGCCAGCAGAGAUGACUGGGAUCUGGGAGGCAGGGUUGGGUCUGGUGGGGUGGGGGAGGGAAUUAGAUAAGAGAACAGGGAUUUGAGGAAAAGCCCAUGGAAAAGGCAGAAGUUUCAUGUGACCCUCUGCACUCCUACAGGCUUCUCCGUGCUCUUCGGGAGAGGAUAUGGAGAUCUCUGAUGAUGACAGGGGCGGUUCACCCCCUCCGGCCCCAACACCCCCCCAGCAGCCUCCACCCCCUCCUCCACCACCCCCUCCUCCUCCUCCCUACCUGGCUUCCCUACCCCUUGGUUAUCCUCCCCACCAGCCUGCCUACCUCCUCCCACCACGCCCUGAUGGGCCACCACCCCCUGAGUACCCCCCACCUCCUCCGCCACCCCCCCACAUUUAUGACUUUGUGAAUUCCCUAGAGCUCAUGGAUCGACUUGGGGCUCAGUGGGGAGGGAUGCCCAUGUCCUUCCAGAUGCAGACCCAGAUGUUAACUCGGCUCCAUCAGCUGCGGCAGGGCAAGGGAUUGACUGCUGCCUCAGCUGGCCCCCCUGGUGGGGCCUUUGGGGAGGCCUUCCUCCCAUUCCCACCCCCCCAAGAGGCAGCCUACGGCUUACCCUACGCUCUGUACACACAAGGGCAAGAAGGCCGAGGGGCAUACUCCCGGGAGGCAUACCACCUGCCUUUGCCCAUGGCAGCUGAGCCCCUGCCCUCCUCCUCGGUCUCUGGAGAAGAGGCCCGGCUACCUCCCAGGGAGGAAGCAGAGCUGGCAGAGGGCAAGGCCCUACCGUCAGCAGGCACCGUGGGGCGUGUGCUGGCCACCCUAGUCCAAGAGAUGAAGAGCAUCAUGCAGCGAGACCUCAACCGCAAGAUGGUGGAGAAUGUGGCCUUUGGAGCCUUUGACCAGUGGUGGGAGAGCAAGGAAGAGAAGGCCAAGGUGAGGGCCAGUGCUUGGGACUAGGGAAAACCUGGGGCUCCAUUGGAGGAAGUAGACUUCUGGCUUUUCCAGGCUACACAGCUCAAAGUAAAAAAUAGAGACGAUCAAGGCAAGUGGAGAGAGAGACUGUGUAGCCACUUGAUGGGGCACAGUGGUUGAGCAGGAGAACUGGGGCAAAUGGAACAGUAGGAAAGCAUAAGUUUGAGGGGCCUCUGGGUGGUUCAGUCGGUUAAGUGUCCAACUCUUGAUUUUGGCUCAGGUCAUGAGCUCAGGGUUGUGAGAUGGAGCCCCGCAUCGGGCUCUACACUGGGCAUGGAGCCUGCUUAAGAUAUUCUCUUUCUCUCUCUCUCGCUCGCUUGCUUGCAGAAAAACAAAACAAACAUAAGCUUUAGAGUCAGAGGAGCUUUGUUCUAGCUCUACUGUUUGCAUGCUUCUGGCAGACGAGGCCCUUAAGUCUCUCUGGGCUUCAGUCUUCAAUGUGUCCAUCUGUAGACUAGGAAUAAUAAAGGGGGAUGGACUCAAUGAGCAGACUUGGAAGAAAUGUCUGUACGGGGGCUGGUGCAAGGGGGGUGUGGCAUAGAUCUGUGUCAAAUAGAGGAGUGAGUAGAUGCAUUUCUGUAUUCCUGGGACCUGGGAGUAGUUCUCAGGCAGGAGGCAGGAGGGAACGCCUGGGUUCUGGGGCUCAGUCCCCCUACUGCCCGCAGCCAUUCCAGAACGCAGCCAAACAGCAAGCCAAGGAGGAGGAUAAAGAGAAGACAAAACUCAAAGAGCCAGGCCUGCUGUCCCUCGUAGACUGGGCCAAGAGUGGGGGUACCACGGGCAUCGAGGCCUUCGCUUUUGGGUCAGGGCUGCGAGGGGCCCUGCGGCUGCCUUCUUUCAAGGUACCCAGAACUGGUCUUGCCUAGUAGGGAGGAGACAGCAGGGUGGGAGUUCCCUUCCUUGGGGUAGGGGUGGUUGGGAACCAUGAGAGUUUGAGUUCUAAACAGGCUCCGUCUCUUUCGGCGCCCCAGGUAAAGCGAAAAGAGCCUUCGGAAAUUUCAGAGGCCAGUGAGGAAAAGAGGCCCCGGCCCUCCACUCCAGCUGAGGAGGAUGAAGAUGGUGAGUGGGAAGUCAGAUGGAAGGAGAAAAGGGAAAGGGUGCUAGCUUCUGAUAGGAAAGUAAUAAGCAGAGGUAAAGGGUGAAGAUGUCAGAGGGCAAGUAGCCAAGUAGAGGUUUUGGUGCAAGGUUAAAUGAAAGCAGUUCUGAGAUGUGUGAGAAGCUUAAGAUGGGGUCAUUCCUGGGUUCUAGUUGUGGUUCUUACUCUGGCGUGCUGAUUGAAGUUUUCUGUAUUUCAGUUUUCCCCUGUAAAAUGGAAAUACUUUCAACAUUUAGAGUCGUAGGAUUUCAGGGUUUAACAGGUCAUCGGCCCAAGUUCCCCAUCUAAAGCUCUUCUGCAACCUCCCUCCCAGUUUCCCUAAGUCUGAGCUAUUGGUUGACAGCUUACGUGGCUAGGAAACUUCCUUACUGAGUCCGAUUUGCUUCCCUGGAGACCCAUUUACCUUAGUACUGUUUUCUUGGUCAGGCAUAACAAGUCCUCUCCCUCUUCCACCCAACCCAGAAAAGGAUGAAAGGUAAAACGGGUGCAGUAUGUUUAAACUCUAUAAAAUGUUAUAGGUAGCUCUGGGGUUUUGGGUUUUUCUCUGUUGAGCUUCAGCUUCUUGUCUGUAAAAUGAGGUCUGUCUUGUCGGACUGUCAGGAAGAUCAGCAGUGGUGUGUGCAAAAGCUCCUUUGGGCCAGGGGAACGGGGACUGUUAACUGCUGAUGGUAAAUUGCUCUAACGGCCACUCACAUGCACCUAGACCCUGAGCGAGAGAAGGAGGCUGGAGAGCCGGGACGUCCGGGAACCAAGCCCCCAAAACGAGAUGAAGAGCGAAGCAAGACCCAGGGCAAGCACCGCAAAUCCUUUGCUCUGGACAGUGAGGGGGAGGAAGCAUCCCAGGAGUCCUCCUCAGAGAAGGUGAGGGGCGCCCGGUUCUUGCCAAAAGCCCACUUGCUGAGUUCCUGUCACCACAGCCACCUUCUCUCUGGGCUGGAGCCCAGGUAGCUGUGCCUCCGGGAGGACAGUUGUUCUUCUCCUGUUAGUCCCUGUUUGUCCUUUUCUUUAAGGAUGAGGAGGAGGAUGAGGAAGAUGAAGACGACGAAGAACGUGAGGAAGCCAUGGAUACUACAAAGAAGGAGACAGAGGCAUCAGAUGGUAGGUACAGACAGAACACAGUAGAAUUCUGGCUCAGGGAAGAAGGAAUUCAGCUGCCUGUCUGUCGCUUCCCUGAGUCCACAGAAAUUUCAUGCUAGAUUUAUUGGCCACCUUUGCCUUUCCCAAAAGCAGCUGUCCUUUAGUCCUAUCCUUUGGAACGCUUGGCCCAUUAUAAACAGUAAGUCCAAUACCCAGAACACUCCCUUCUGCUUACCUCCUAUACUGAAACUUUGCUCCUUUCUGAAGACAGCCUAGCAGAAUGUACUUAAUUUGCCCAACCCCUCAAGAUAAGUGGUCCAUGUUCUCCUGCCAGCCCUUGAUAACUACCAGACCAUGCCUUUCUGCCUUUGAGCACUGCUCUUCCUUUAAGGUCCAGCCACCGAACCAUGCUUCCCCUUCCUCCCCUCUCCCCUUAGCUGCCAUCACCAGACACUGCUCUGCUCUUCAGUUGAACACCUCCUCCCUCCAUAUCCGUUGAGUCUUGGAUAUACGGUUUAGUCUUUCUUCUCAUUCAUUUGUUCAGAAAUCGCUGUUGAGCCUCUACUGUGUACCAGGCGCUGUUCUGGGUAUUGGGGACACAUCUUUCAUGCAACUUGUGAUCAGUUGGAGGGGAGGAGGAGACUUGACGAGUGAACAGAUAAUAGCACCUCAGAGAUACAUACGUUGCAGAAGAGAAACUAGGUUACUGGGGUAGAGAGUAACGGGUGGGGGAGCUGGGGAAAGAUGGGCUGUUCUAGAGCUGUUGGAGAAGGAGUGCCUCUGAGAGGUGCCAUUUCAGCAGAGGCCAGAUGGGAGAAUGAUGAUCUGAGAGCCUAUCUUUUCAGGAAAGAAGAGGGUAGGGUCACCUCCUCUAAGGGGGCAGACUGUUGUACAUCCAUUUUGUCACUGCUUUCUGUCAGUUUCACCACCUCAGUGUUUCUUGGAUUUGUUGCCUUCAUUGUUCCUGCUGUUCUGUCUUUUCUCAGUUAGAGUGUUCUGCAGCAGUUUUGAUUGAUUACCUCGUCUUUGUUUCCAUCCUUCUUCCUCCAUUCCAAUCCAUUUUCCAGUCUGCCAAUGGCAUUUUCUUUUCUUCAGCGAACACCUGACCCUGUGACUUCCUCCAUAAAGUCGAUUCCUAGCGCCCUAUUUUCUAUAAGAUGACUCUUCCUCUUGAUACGUUAGGCCAUUUAUAACCUAGCUCCCAUUUAUCUGUUCAGCUCUAUCUUGCCAUUCUCCAGACCCAUCCUUGGCCACCAGCACUGUCUAUUCUAAUUUAUCCAGUUGUGUUCCUCAGACACUUCAAAUUUCUUAACUUCUUACAGAAUUCUUCCAGUGUAUUGCCCUUUCCCAGAGGCAUAAAACAUAUAUUUUUAAAGCUUCUUUUAUCCUACAGUCCUUUUUAUGAGUCUGUCGUCUAGGCGGCAUUUAUAAGACCCACUUUGGGAAAAGCUUAAAGCAGACCGCUUACUGGUCUCCAGGUGUCUCACCUUCCCUCACCUUUGACAUCCCUGUUCAGCCCUCGUGUCUGCUUAGUGUACUUUUUUUUUUUUAAUGUUUAUUCAUUUUUCAAAGAGAGACUGAAUGUGA
rnacentral:lncRNA from 1 species